rnacentral:lncRNA from 1 species
AUGAGAUCAUGUCCUUCCUACAAAAAGAGUUAGAUAAAAAGACAUAUUUUUUGGUUUUUUAGUUAGUAAAAUGAUAAUAUACAAGUAUGAUAUCUCCCAAAACAAACCCAAUGAAAGAGGGGUAAGGAGGAUGCCAAGAUAUGAUCCCAAUGCUUAUGCUUAUGAUGGAAUUGCAUGAGGGAUCUUAGGGUCAAAAUUGGGGUAUUACAACAUCACAACCAUCAUGGUCAUGUUCACAGUCACUCACCAAACAGAUAUCUUU